rnacentral:snRNA from 1 species
AUACUUACCUGACAGGGUCAAUGGCUGAUCAAGAAGCCUCAUGGCCUAGGUAGGUGGCCUCCACUGCACUUAAGAGGGGUGCCUGCUUAACAUCUUCCCUAAGAGGAAGAGAGUAUGUCAUGAUUUGUGAUACUGGAGGUCUGCGACCGCACCAAUUUCAA